UGCAUUUAGCUCGUAGAAAUUUGUUCCCACAUUAGUAAAUAAUGUUAUUUUGCUCACAUGAACCUUCCUAGGAAAACAUAUUUGGUUUCCUCUUCUUUGAUACUCUUGUUUAAUUUUCCACUUCAAUUUUGGAUCUUUUUAUCUUUUCAAGUGAUUGGACAGAAAUCGAUCCAAGAUAAGUUCAGCAUAGAAACGCAAACAUUUAGCUGGUCAAUUCACCAAAUUGCUUUUAUUGGUAUGAGAAUCCAUGCCUUUCUUUUAACAGUAUGAAAUAAUUAUGAGAAAUCAUUCGUACUCCUGUUUGGUCUAAAUUUGUAACGUACUAUACAAACAAUUGUCACCACUCCUUUUUCACCAAAUCAGAAUUUGAUUCUUCUUCUGCUAUCCGAAUAAGUUUUUU
rnacentral:lncRNA from 1 species